rnacentral:rRNA from 1 species
UGCAAGUCGAGCGGAGUGAUGGUGCUUGCACUAUCACUUAGCGGCGGACGGGUGAGUAAUGCUUAGGAAUCUGCCUAUUAGUGGGGGACAACAUUUCGAAAGGAAUGCUAAUACCGCAUACGUCCUACGGGAGAAAGCAGGGGAUCUUCGGACCUUGCGCUAAUAGAUGAGCCUAAGUCGGAUUAGCUAGUUGGUGGGGUAAAGGCCUACCAAGGCGACGAUCUGUAGCGGGUCUGAGAGGAUGAUCCGCCACACUGGGACUGAGACACGGCCCAGACUCCUACGGGAGGCAGCAGUGGGGAAUAUUGGACAAUGGGCGCAAGCCUGAUCCAGCCAUGCCGCGUGUGUGAAGAAGGCCUUAUGGUUGUAAAGCACUUUAAGCGAGGAGGAGGCUACUGAAGUUAAUACCUUCAGAUAGUGGACGUUACUCGCAGAAUAAGCACCGGCUAACUCUGUGCCAGCAGCCGCGGUAAUACAGAGGGUGCAAGCGUUAAUCGGAUUUACUGGGCGUAAAGCGCGCGUAGGCGGCUAAUUAAGUCAAAUGUGAAAUCCCCGAGCUUAACUUGGGAAUUGCAUUCGAUACUGGUUAGCUAGAGUGUGGGAGAGGAUGGUAGAAUUCCAGGUGUAGCGGUGAAAUGCGUAGAGAUCUGGAGGAAUACCGAUGGCGAAGGCAGCCAUCUGGCCUAACACUGACGCUGAGGUGCGAAAGCAUGGGGAGCAAACAGGAUUAGAUACCCUGGUAGUCCAUGCCGUAAACGAUGUCUACUAGCCGUUGGGGCCUUUGAGGCUUUAGUGGCGCAGCUAACGCGAUAAGUAGACCGCCUGGGGAGUACGGUCGCAAGACUAAAACUCAAAUGAAUUGACGGGGGCCCGCACAAGCGGUGGAGCAUGUGGUUUAAUUCGAUGCAACGCGAAGAACCUUACCUGGCCUUGACAUAGUAAGAACUUUCCAGAGAUGGAUUGGUGCCUUCGGGAACUUACAUACAGGUGCUGCAUGGCUGUCGUCAGCUCGUGUCGUGAGAUGUUGGGUUAAGUCCCGCAACGAGCGCAACCCUUUUCCUUAUUUGCCAGCGAGUAAUGUCGGGAACUUUAAGGAUACUGCCAGUGACAAACUGGAAGAAGGCGGGGACGACGUCAAGUCAUCAUGGCCCUUACGGCCAGGGCUACACACGUGCUACAAUGGUCGGUACAAAGGGUUGCUACCUAGCGAUAGGAUGCUAAUCUCAAAAAGCCGAUCG